rnacentral:rRNA from 2 species
CGAAGUGGUUCUGACCUUUUGGUACAGAGAAGUCAUUGAUGCCCGGCUUCCAGGAAAAGCUGCUAGCCAUAACUUAUAGAGAACCGUACCGCAAACCGACACAGGUGGACAGGUAGAGAAUACUAAGGCGCUUGAGAGAACUCGGGUGAAGGAACUAGGCAAAAUGGUACCGUAACUUCGGGAGAAGGUACGCCCUUUCUGGUGAUGGGAUUUACUUUCAGAGCUGGAGAGGGCCGCAGAGACCAGGUGGCUGCGACUGUUUAUUAAAAACACAGCACUCUGCAAAUUCGUAAGAAGACGUAUAGGGUGUGACGCCUGCCCGGUGCCGGAAGGUUAAUUGAUGGGGUUAUCUUCGGAGAAGCUCUUGAUCGAAGCCCCGGUAAACGGCGGCCGUAACUAUAACGGUCCUAAGGUAGCGAAAUUCCUUGUCGGGUAAGUUCCGACCUGCACGAAUGGCGUAACGAUGGCCACACUGUCUCCACCCGAGACUCAGUGAAAUUGAAAUCGCUGUGAAGAUGCAGUGUACCCGCGGCUAGACGGAAAGACCCCGUGAACCUUUACUAUAGUUUUGCACUGGACUUUGAUGAUGACUGUGUAGGAUAGGUGGGAGGCUGUGAAGUGAGGACGCUAGUUCUCAUGGAGCCGCCCUUGAAAUACCACCCUGUUGUUAUUGAGGUUCUAACUUGGUCCAGUAAUCCUGGAUGAGGACAGUGUAUGAUGGGUAGUUUGACUGGGGCGGUCUCCUCCCAAAGAGUAACGGAGGAGCACAAAGGUACCCUCGGUACGGUCGGACAUCGUACCAAGAGUGUAAAGGCAAAAGGGUGCUUGACUGCGAGAGUGACGGCUCGAGCAGGAACGAAAGUUGGUCUUAGUGAUCCGGUGGUUCUGAAUGGAAGGGCCAUCGCUCAACGGAUAAAAGGUACUCCGGGGAUAACAGGCUGAUACCGCCCAAGAGUUCAUAUCGACGGCGGUGUUUGGCACCUCGAUGUCGGCUCAUCACAUCCUGGGGCUGAAGCAGGUCCCAAGGGUAUGGCUGUUCGCCAUUUAAAGUGGUACGCGAGCUGGGUUUAGAACGUCGUGAGACAGUUCGGUCCCUAUCUGCCGUGGGCGUAGGAAAAUUGAGAGGAGCUGCUCCUAGUACGAGAGGACCGGAGUGGACGAACCUCUGGUGCACCGGUUGUCACGCCAGUGGCAUGGCCGGGUAGCUAAGUUCGGACGGGAUAACCGCUGAAAGCAUCUAAGCGGGAAGCCUCCCUCAAGAUGAGUUUUCCCAUGAAGCCCGUUGAAGACUACGACGUUGAUAGGCAAGGUGUGGAAGCGCAGUAAUGCGUGAAGCUAACUUGUACUAAUUGGCUGAUUGUCUUGACCAUAUAAUCUGAG